ACACAACAAAUGCUGGAGAGAGUGUGGAGAAAAGGGAACCUUCUUGCACUAUUGGUGGGAAGGUAAAUGGAUAUAGCCACUAUGGAGAACAGUACAGAGUUUCCUUAAAAAACUAAACAUAGAACUAUUAUAUAACCAGCAAUCCCACUACUGAGCAUAUACUCUGAAAAACCAUAGUUCAAAAGGCACAUGCCCCUCAGUGUUCUUUAUAGUACUAUUUACUAUAGCCAGGAUAUGGAAGCAACCUAAAUCCAGAUGAAUGGAUAAAGAAGAUGUCAUACAUAUAUACAAUGAAACAUUUUUCAGCCAUAAAAAGGAACAAAGUUGGGUCAUUUAUACAGAUGUGAAUGGACAUAGGGUCUAUCAUACAGAGAGAAUUAGUCAGAGAAAAACACAUACCAUGCAUUAACAUGUAUGUGUGGAAUCUAAAAAAGAUGGUAUAGAUGAACCUUUUUGUAGGGCAGGAAUACAGAUGCAGAUGUAGAGAUUAGACCUGUGGACAUGUACAGGGCGAAGUGGGAUGAGAUUGACAUAUAAAUCCAUCAUGUGUAAGAGAGAUAGUGAGAACCUGCUGUACGGUAGAGGGUGCUCAGCUCAGUGCUUUAUGAUGACCUAGAUGGGUGGGAUACAGGCUGGGGAAGGUCCAAGAAGGGGGAGAUAUGUAUAUAUAUGGAUGAUUCAGUUCACUGUGCAGCAAAAAUUAACACAAAUUGUAAGGCAACUAUACCCCAUUUUUUGAAAAAUAUUAAGGAAGCUGAAAAAGAAGACAAAAAGAUUUGGAAAGAGGUAACAUCUUUUUUUCUUGUUGUUUUCUAGUUGCUUGAAAGACAAUCAAAAGGAGCUUGGGAAGGUAAGCCCAGACGUGAAAAGAAAACGGCAGGAAGUGACUACACUUGAGAUAGAAAAUCAAGGUCAAGAUAAGAAAAGUAAAGGUGUUCCAUUCACUUCUAAUCAGGAAAAUGAGAAUGUCAGUGGUUGUGAAGAAGUAUGCUACACUGUCAUUAAUCAUAGGCCCUAUCGGAGACCCUCCCUGAACUCCAGUGAUGAUGGUUACGAGAACAUCACAAAGAGAGUGAGACCAUUAAGAGAAGGGCCAGAAACAGAAUAUGCCCUUCUCAAGAAACCUUGCACUAUCAGGUCUUCUUCCUGUACAGCUGAGAAUGAUUACGAAAUUGUGCUUCCUCACUAGAAUACUCCUGCCUCAUCAUCUUCCAGUAAUAAAGAUGACCAAAUGGUGACCUCCA
rnacentral:lncRNA from 1 species